AGCCUGAACGCUGGCGGCGUGGCUAAGACAUGCAAGUCGUACGGGUGUAGCAAUACACCAGUGGCGGACGGGUGAGUAAUGUAUCGCUAACGUACCCCGAAAUCUGGGAUAGCCAUCCGAAAGGAUGGGUAAUACCAGGUAACAUCACCGGAUGGCAUCAUCUGGUGCUCAUAGGGUCACCGUUUCGGGAGCGGGCGAUAUCGUAUCAGCUAGUUGGCGGGGUAACGGCCCACCAAGGCGACGACGCGUAGCCGGACUGAGAGGUUGGCCGGCCACAUUGGGACUGAGACACUGCCCAGACUCCUACGGGGGGCUGCAGUAACGAAUCUUCCGCAAUGCACGCAAGUGUGACGGAGCGACGCCGCGUGUGGGACGAAGCCCUUCGGGGUGUAAACCACUGUCAGGGGUUAGAAAGUUCUGAUCGACCCAGAGGAAGGCACGGCUAACUCUGCGCCAGCAGCCGCGGUAA
rnacentral:rRNA from 1 species